rnacentral:tRNA from 1 species
GCCUUCGUGGUGUAGUGGUCUGCAUGCUCGAAGCGUAACCAAGAGGUCCGUGGUUCGAUUCCCGGCGAAGGCG